UGCCGAUAUCUCUCAAGACUUUUCCUAGAGAAAAGAAAUGGCAAUGCCGUAAAAAUCGCUUGCUAGGUCCGUAAAUCUCAGUGAAAUCCUACAAUAAAAAUGUCCGCUCCUGGAUUGAAAAACUUAUCUGUUACAAACUGGUGCUGAUAAAUGUACAUUUUAAGAAAAUAAUCCUUAAACGUGUUUUAAAGUUACACCGGAUCAAUUAAAUCCAAAUCAUGCACUGCUGGUGAACUGUGAUCAAAAUGUCAAUUUCCUACAAUGACAAAAGAAAUUACAUUGUGUACAUUCCAUCUCUAUAGAUGUUGUCUGUUUAACGUCUCCACCUAAAAAGAAAUAAAAAGACUAAGUUUUUGUUAAUAUAAACCCGCGUCACGUGGUGUCUCCUCAAUCUGGCGUGCGCGCGCUGGACCUAAAAUAAAAGAAAAACUUUCCAAACUAAACAUGAAACUUCUCCGGUAACACAAUACUAUAGACCCCUUACAGAAACAAACAAACAAACAAACAAACACACCCCCCCCCCAAUCAAUCUAUGUUUCAAAGGGGGAAAGACCGGUUACAAUUCUUUUUAAAAGCAAUUGAUUUAUAUUUAUUUAUUUUUUUUUUUUUUUUUUCUCCGCCUAAUUUUUUUUCCUUCGCUGUUUUUUUGUUUCGCAAGAUGUCGCUUAGAAAUUUGGAAUAUGAUAUCGAACAGUUUAUACGCUUUUGAAACCAACUCUGCUUAACCGAAUACUUUACCAUAUAAGAGUUAUCUCCCCGAACACUGUUUUUCUUGUUAUCUCUAAGACUUCGCAACCGUAUAAGAAACCGACAAAUUUAUUUUUCCAAAUUGCUCGUUAUAUCCUCAGGAUGUGCUGUUUUAUUUUGACCGAAGCCGUAUCGAGAUUCCAUAUGAGAGUUAUUUCCCCUUUUGUAUUUGAAAUUUUGAAAUGUAUUUAAAACUGGAAAACCAUAAGUGAUAGAGACCUAGGGUCUUUUGAUUUGAGAUCCUUGGUCCAAAAAAAAUGAAAAUUAGGUCAACGUCAAAGGUCAAGGUCAUAUUCUAAAUUUUGAUUUUGGCUUAUUUUCACUCAUUUUCAUAAACCUUAUAAGAUAUCGACAAAUUAUUUUUACUAAAUUGUUAGUUGCGACAUGUCGUAACAUAAUAAUUUUGGUUGAAAGGGUGCGUAGACAAUAACUGGGAGUUUUAGCCCCUAUCAUAUCUAAAAUUAUGCGUAAAGUGAUAUAACUUAUUAACCAUACAUAUUAGAGACCUAGGGUCUUUUGAUUUGAGAUCCUCAGUUUGUGACCUUGAAAUUGAGGUCAAGGUCAUAGGUAAAUUUGACAUUCUAGAUUAUGACCUUUGCUUAAAAUUCAUAUCUUUACAUCAUACAGCCAUAGGAACUGACAUUUUAGACUGAUUUUUAAUAUUCUAAUAUCAAAAUAGAUAUUUACUGGUGGAAAGACCUUCAAUUGUUCUCUGAACAAUUGGUUUUUAAUUAUUAUUUUUUUUU
rnacentral:lncRNA from 1 species